AAUCCCAUGAACCACAGCACACCAGGCCUCCCUGUCCAUCACCAACUGCUGGAGUACACCCAAACCUAUGUCCAUUGAGUCAAUGAUGCCAUCCAACCAUCUCAUCCUCUGUCGUCCCCUUCCCCUCCUGCCUUCAAUCUUUACCAGCAUCAGGGUCUUUUCAAAUGAGUCAUCUCUUCACAUCAGGUGCCCAAAGUAUUGGAGUUUCAGCUUCAACAUCAGUCCUUCCAGUGAACACCCAGGACUGAUCUCCUUUAGGAUGGACUAGUUGGAUCUCCUUGCAGUCCAAGGGACUCUCAAGAGUCUUCUCCAACACCACAGUUCAAAAGCAUCAAUUCUUCGGCACUCAGCUUUCUUUAUAGUCCAACUCUCACAUCCAUACAUGACUACUGGAAAAACCAUAGCCUUGACUAGACAGAUUUUGAUGACAAAGUAAUGUCUCUGCUUUUUAAUAUGCUAUAUAGGUUGGUCAUAACUUCCUUCCAAGGAGUAAGCGUCUUUUAAUUUCAUGGCUGCAGUCACCAUCCGCAGGGAUUUUGGAGCCCCCAAAAAUAAAGUCUGACACUGUUUCCACUGUUUCCCCAUCUAUUUGCCAUAAAGUGAUGGGACCAGAUGCCAUGAUCUUAGUUUUCUGAAUGUUGAGCUUUAAGCCAACUUUUUCACUCUCCUCUUUCACUUUCAUCAAGAGGCUCUUUAGUCCUUCUUUGCUUUCUGCCAUAAGGGUGGUGUCAUCUGUGUAUCUGAGGUUAUUGGUAUUUCUCCCAGCAAUCUUUAUUCCAGCUUGGGCUUCCUCCAGGCCUCCAGGGUUUCUCAUGAUGUACUCUGCAUAUAAGUUAAAUAAUCAGGGUGACAGUAUACAGCCUUGACGUACUCCUUUCCCUAUUCAGAACCAGUCUGUUGUUCCAUGUCCAGUUCUAACUGUUGCUUCCUGACCUGCAUACAGAUUUCUCAAGAGGCAGAUCAGGUGGUCUGGUAUUCCCAUCUCUUGAAGAAUUUUUCACAGUUUAUUGUGAUCCACACAGUUAAAGGCUUUGGUAUAGUCAAUGUUUCAAAUUAUUACUACAAUUUCCCAUAUGUUGCAGUUUUUUUAAACAGAGUCUUCUUAGAAGACUGCCUUUCUCUGAAGAUCAGUGAGAACCCCUGGAGGAAUUCACAAAGAAACAAGACAGAUUUUUAUUUCCAUCCUAAAAACAAUGGGGCAAUCCAUGCUGAAAGGCAUCAGUUUUGGAGAUAAAUCUGGGAGAGGAAGCCUGCGGUCAGGAUGUCAUUCCCAGACAAGACAUGAUAAGAACCUCAACUCUAGGCUAUUGGAAAUGAAGAGAAGGGAAUGCAGGUAAGCCAUUGACAAGAUCUUGGUGCCUAACGAUAAGAGAAGGAGGAGCUGGGUAUUCUGGAUGACUUCCUUACA
rnacentral:lncRNA from 1 species